GAUGAACGCUGGCGGCGUGCCUAAUACAUGCAAGUCGAGCGAACAGAUGAGGAGCUUGCUCCUCUGACGUUAGCGGCGGACGGGUGAGUAACACGUGGAGAACCUACCUAUAAGACUGGGAUAACUUCGGGAAACCGGAGCUAAUACCGGAAAAUAUAUUGAACCGCAUGGUUCAAUAGUGUAAGACGGUUUUGCUGUCACUUAGAGCUGGUUCCGCGCCGCAUUAGCUAGUUGGUAAGGUAACGGCUUACCAAGGCAACGAUGCGUAGCCGACCUGAGAGGGUGAUCGGCCACACUGGAACUGAGACACGGUCCAGACUCCUACGGGAGGCAGCAGUAGGGAAUCUUCCGCAAAGGGCGAAAGCCUGACGGAGCAACGCCGCGUGAGUGAUGAAGGUCUUCGGAUCGUAAAACUCUGUUAUUAGGGAAGAACAAAUGUGUAAGUAACUAUGCACGUCUUGACGGUACCUACUCAGAAAGCCACGGCUAACUACGUG
rnacentral:rRNA from 1 species